rnacentral:rRNA from 1 species
UACGUAGGGGGCAAGCGUUGUCCGGAUUUACUGGGCGUAAAGAGCGCGUAGGCGGAAGCUUAAGUGUGGCCUGAAAGCCCCCGGCUCAACCGGGGAAGGUGGCUGCAAACUGGGCUUCUUGAUGGCGAUAGAGGAGGGUGGAAUUCCUGGUGUAGCGGUGAAAUGCGUAGAUAUCAGGAGGAACACCGGUGGCGAAGGCGGCCCUCUGGGUCGACCCUGACGCUGAGGCGCGAAAGCGUGGGGAGCGAACGGG